CAAACUCCUCCUCAGCUUGACUCAGCAGGUCCUGGAACGAGGGCCGAGAUAAGUAUGACAGAGGAACGAUGAAUCUCUUCUUUUGGUUUUCUCCUACAUAAACUGGGAAAUACCCCUUUGGAACGUCUAAGGGAGCAGAAUCUACUUCUCUGCGACCAGAUAGAGACCGCCGCAACUUUUUUCCUGGCAAACUGAUCCCCAUAAUCAUAAGUCUGAAAUCUGUUUCCAAAAGGAAAGACUUGAGGACGAUGCUAUGCCACUUGCUGGAAGGAAGUAGGAAGAAAUGUGAAUUUUGAUUUGGGUGCAGAAGCAAUGGCUUGGUAAUGUAUAUAUAGGGUGAGUGGAUGGCAAGUGAGCCUAUCUGCCAAGCUGAAUGAGUGAUGAGGAGGUUGCAGCAUACAGGGCCAAAGGAGAAACAUGGGCUGUUGGGGGCUCACGUGUCAAUGUCUGCCAAACCUCAAGAAACUCUAGAGCUCAUUAUUGCAGCAAACAUCAUGGCCCACGUCUCCUGAAGACAGGAUUCCUCACAGGUCCUACUGAAAUCUGAAGAGAUUGUGGUUGAUGUGAACUACCUCUCUCGGUUAGUUGGAGAGGACUCCUUAACAAACCAUUUGUCCCAGGACUAAUAAACAGCCCUCCCAAAUUUGUGGUGUUAGUCACUCACUCAUGACUCAACUAACAGGCCGUUUUCCACUUCAUACGGACCUUGACCCUAAAAUGAGUGCUUUACAAUCCUAUCUAGGCUUGAGCAUAUUACCUUUUCCUUUUCUCAAUUGCAGGAAACAUGGCACUCAAGAAGUAUUGUGGGUUUCAAAUGGAUAAAAUAUGAUGCUUUCUUGGAGAGAGUGGUGGUACAAGAUCCUCCUGUUAAAUUUGGCAGAACAACAGCGUACCACUUGUACCAACCAACAUGUUUGAGACAUUAGCCAAUGUUGCCACAUGAGUAGCAGGGUCACCUGAAAUGACAUGGCUUAGCAGUGGUUUAAUAUCACCGGGUAGUUGUUUUAUCAAGAAAAUAAGGUUCGGUGAUGAGGCAUAUCACACCCUGGAUAAUAUAGGUCUUGUAUUGACUGUAUGGCAAUUCCUGGAUCUAAUCUAAAUACUGUCCAUUGGCCACAAUUUGUGUCCUGGUUGCACACUUUGCUGUACUUCGCCCCUGAAUCAAUCAAUGGUAUAUAUGCAAACAUGUACUGGAUCAGAUGAAAAAUUCAAAUGUUUAGGGAACAAAGAAAAUGUUGGAAAUUGUGAUCCAUUUUCUCUAAAAAUAUCUAGAAACUACUAACUUAAUCAUGAAGGUGAGAACCUUCUAGAAUUGUUGAGAAUGGAGAUUGCUAGUUGAAUCUAGAAGAUUCACAUGGGAAUGCAAGCAAGCAAAAGCCAAGCAUCAAAGAAAAUCCUAGAACAAGCAAGAGAAGUCUAGAGAAGUCCAUGCUUCAAGAGAAGUCUAGAAUUCUAGAAUGCUUCAAGAGAAGUCUAGAAUUCUACAAUGCUUCAAGAGAAGUCUAGAAUUCUCUAUCUUAUGUUAGUAUCUAUUUGUAGAGAAGUCUAGAGACUUCCUCCACCUACUUUGGUAGCCUAUAUAAAGGAGCAAGUGCUCCAUGUUUUGGUGAAGGGAGCUAACCAUAAAAACCACACAUCAUGCUCCCUUACCAACACCUCAACUAUUGUAAAAUUAUUUUCAUAAACUAGUGAAACUAUCUUUGUCCCAUAAACCUUCUCAAAAGAUCCUAUCAUUGUCCCUUGUCCAUCCCCUAUCAAAUAUAAACUAUACCAUGCUUCCGCGCACAUUUAAAUUCUAACAUGGUAUCAGAGCUAGGUUACGCCCAGGUUCGUAACUGAGCCAGGCGUAAGGGACCAUGAAGCCAAAACCAGGCAUAUCGGAUGGUUAUGGGCGUUUGUCCUCACCAUCCUCAACUAAAAAGGCUAGAGCCCGAGCGAGACCCAAUAGAGCUAGAGCCGGAGCCAGAGCCAAAAUCAAAGGCCAGAGCCCGAGCGAAAGCCAACAGAGCCAGAGCUGGAGCUAGAGCCAAAAUCAAAGCCGGAGCCAGAGCCAGAGCCUACGAGAGCCAGAGCCAGAGCCCGAACUAACAACUACAACUAAGAGCAUUUUGCCACAAGACAUAUGGGACAUCAUUAAAGAAAAGACAUAUGCAUGUUCAAAGGCAAGUGCAAGUGGUUCGACAAAAGGAUACAAGGGAUUGUGGCACAAAGACAACACAAAAGGCAUUGGACAAAUUACAAGAGAAAUUUCAAGGUAUGUCCGAGACUUUACAACACAAGUCCGGAUUAUCUCGAAAAUGGAUCAAGGGGGAGUGUUGGAAAUUGUGAUCCAUUUUCUCUAAAAAUAUCUAGAAACUACUAACUUAAUCAUGAAGGUGAGAAUCUUCUAGAAUUGUUGAGAAUGGAGAUUGCUAGUUGAAUCUAGAAGAUUCACAUGGGAAUGCAAGCAAGCAAAAGCCAAGCAUCAAAGAAAAUCCUAGAACAAGCAAGAGAAGUCUAGAGAAGUCCAUGCUUCAAGAGAAGUCUAGAAUUCUAGAAUGCUUCAAGAGAAGUCUAGAAUUCUCUAUCUUAUGUUAGUAGCUAUUUGUAGAGAAGUCUAGAGACUUCCUCUACCUACUUUGGUAGCCUAUAUAAAGGAGCAAGUGCUCCAUGUUUUGGUGAAGGGAGCUAACCAUAAAAACCACACACCAUGCUCCCUCACCAACACCUCAACUAUUGUAAAAUUAUUUUCAUAAACUAGUGAAACUAUCUUUGUCCCAUAAACCUUCUCAAAAGAUCCUAUUAUUGUCCCUUGUCCAUCCUCUAUCAAAUAUAAACUAUAUCAUGCUUCCGCGUACAUUUAAAUUCUAACAGAAAAACCAGAAAUUACAGAGAUUCAGGCCUAGAAAAGCAAAAGUUGAGAGGGUAGGAAAAACGUUUGCCUCCAGGUUCGUCGUGUGGCAGACUUGUAAUAUACUGAUUCUAUGGAGAAAUUGACAAGAUUCAGCCAACUAGUUUUUAGCUUAUAUGAAGUUAAGAAUGGCAGAAAUGGUAGUGACAUCUAAAUCCAGAUGUAACACCCCUUCAAACUUCAUUUGGAAACAAUUUGGAUGGAGAUAUGCAUUUCAUUUUGCAAUCUACCAUUUAGCUCCAGUUUAUUGACUUGAUCUACAAUAGAUCUAAUUGACCUUUUCGUCUCCAUUCCUUGUCAUGCAAAAAUUCUUUUAGGCCGUGCUGAGAAAUACAACGAUUACCACAACUCUGAACAGUAGCAUGUAAAAGCAAGUCUUGUAGAUUAUUUUUCUCAGAACCAUCGCCAGUUCACAUAAAACAAGAGGAGGAAACAAGAGUGCUUUUAGCAGAAGCUAAUCACACAAAAGAUCAAUCCGUAAUGAGGUAGAUAACCAGAGACUCAACUUCUUUACUUUCGGCACAAAGUGAUUACCAAAAGGAUGAAAUCGAUCACUAGGAACACCACAUAUCCACAUAUUCAUGAAAAUCAAUGUCAUUGAUCCAAAUUGCAUCUUCAAUUGUACAUCUAUCUAUCUCCUUAAACUGGUACUCCCUAAACAAUAGGGGAAAAUAUCAACACCAGUUGUAAAAUUUGUAUACAAAAUCAUGUCAAGUGUAUCAACUAAUCUAUCUAGGAGUUCUCCAGUCAGGGUUGAUCAUCCAUCUAUGAGGCUGAGGAAAACUUCUUCAUUGCAUGGAAUCGUGAGGCCUCCCAUUGGAUGGUCAAAGCCGAACUCCUCAGCUUGAUUCAGCAGGUCCUGGAAUGAGGGCCGAGAUAAGUAUGACAGAGGAAUGAUGAAUCUCUUCUUUUGGUUUUCUCCCACAUAAACUGGGAAAUGCCCCUUUGGAACGUCUAAGGGAGCAGAACCUACUUCUCUGCUACCAGAUAGAGACCGCCGCAACUUUUUUCCUGGCAAACUGAUCCCCAUGAUCAUCAGUCUGAAAUCUCUUUUCAAAAGGAAAGACUUGAGGAAGAUGCUAUGCCACUCGCUGGAAGGAAAUAGGAAGAAAUGUGAAUUCUGACUUGGGUGCAGAAGCAUUGGCUUGGAAGGCAUAUAUAGGGUGAGUGGAUGGCGAGUCUAUCUGCUAAGCUCAAUGAGUGAUAAGGAGGUUGCAGCAUAUAGGGCCAAAAGAGAGACAUGGGCUGUUGGGAGUUCACAUGUUGAUGUCUGCCAAACCUCAUAAGACUUUAGAGCUCAUUAUUGCAGCAAACAUCAUGCCCCACCUCUCCUAAAGUCAGGAUUCCUCGCAGGUCCUACUGAAAUCCGAAGAGAUUGUGGUUCAUGUGAACAGCCUCUUGGUUAGU
rnacentral:lncRNA from 1 species